rnacentral:rRNA from 1 species
GACGAACGCUGGCGGCGUGCUUAACACAUGCAAGUCGAACGGAAAGGCGCUGCUUUUGUUGGGUGCUCGAUUGCCGAACGCGUGAGUAACACGUGAGUAACCUGCCCUUGACUUUGGGAUAACUUCAGGGAACUGGGGCUAAUACCGGAUAGGAUCUCCUGCUCCAUGUGGGGGGUUGGAGAGAUUCGGCGGUGGUGGAUCGACUCGCGGCUUAUCAGCUUCUUGGGGGGGUAGAGGCGUACCAAGGCUUUGACGGCUAGCCUGCCUGAGAGGGUGAACGGCGUCCUUGGGCCUGAGGUACGGACCAGAAUCCUACGGGACGCAGCAGUGGGGAAUCUUGCACAAUGGGCGGAAGCGUGAUGCAGAGACGCCGGGUGCGGGAUGACGGGUUAUGAGUUGAAAACAACUGUCGCCUGUGACAAACCCGGAGUGACGGUAAUGAGUAAGGAAGCAACGGCUAACUACGUG